rnacentral:rRNA from 1 species
AUUGAACGCUGGCGGCAUGCCUUACACAUGCAAGUCGAACGGUAACGGGCCUUCGGGUGCCGACGAGUGGCGAACGGGUGAGUAAUACAUCGGAACGUGCCCGAUCGUGGGGGAUAACGAGGCGAAAGCUUUGCUAAUGCCGCAUACGAUCUACGGAUGAAAGCAGGGGACCGCAAGGCCUUGCGCGGACGGAGCGGCCGAUGGCAGAUUAGGUAGUUGGUGGGAUAAAAGCUUACCAAGCCGACGAUCUGUAGCUGGUCUGAGAGGAUGAUCAGCCACACUGGGACUGAGACACGGCCCAGACUCCUACGGGAGGCAGCAGUGGGGAAUGUUGGACAAUGGGCGCAAGCCUGAUCCAGCCAUGCCGCGUGCAGGAUGAAGGCCUUCGGGUUGUAAACUGCUUUUGUACGGAACGAAAAGCCUUCUUUUAAUACAGGAGGGUCAUGACGGUACCGUAAGAAUAAGCACCGGCUAACUACGUG